rnacentral:snRNA from 2 species
GUGCUCACUUCAGCAGCACAUAUACUAAAAUUGGAAUGAUACAGAGAAGAUUAGCAUAGCCCCUUUUUAAAAAAAAAAUAUAUAUAUAUAUAAAUUUUGAUGGCUUUA